UACAGAGGGUGCAAGCGUUAUUCGGAAUUAUUGGGCGUAAAAGCGCAUGUAGGUGGUCAGAUAAGUCUGAUGUGAAAUCCCCGGACUCAAUUCGGGAAGUGCAUUGGAUACUGUUUUGACUGGAGUGUGGGAGAGGUAAGCGGAAUUCCAGGUGUAGAGGUGAAAUUCGUAGAUAUCUGGAGGAACAACAGAGGCGAAGGCGGCUUACUGGACCACUACUGACACUGAGAUGCGAAAGCGUGGGGAGCAAACAGG
rnacentral:rRNA from 1 species